GUGGCUCCUUCGGGGAUUUUGAGUUUCUUUAUAGGAUGGGCGUUGGAGGGAACGAAACAGAGUGAGGAAAGAAUGACCUUUCAGCAGGGAACUCAUUUUUCAGACGCACCACUCAAAUGUAUAGUCAGGAUGCUCUUGGACGGCCCCAGAUACUGGCAUUUAAAAGGGAUCGGUCAUGACAAUAAAAAUGCUGCCUAACACAGCAUAGAUUCACCAGUUCUCAGCUAGAACAUGGACAGAUGUUGGAACCUCUCCUUUCGCUGGGGAUCUGUUACGAUCACCUCGGCAUUUUUAUCAACAGAAUACGAUGAAUAAAACUGAGUAAAACCUAGGACUGCAGCUUUCUCAGUACAUUGGUGACCACUGGCUCCCAUGUCAUCACUCCUUGUUUCAUCAAGAAUGUGGUUUUUCAGAGCUGGCCUUCUCAGAAAAUUUAUAAAAUUGGAGAACCUCAUCGCUGCAUCAUUGGGUUCAUAUCUCUCACUUAGAACCCCAGAAACUGGGAUUCACAGAAAGCCAGGAACCACAUGGCCAGAGUCUGAGGCCAUAGCUCUCUGCACACCUAGUCACGUGGUCCUGCUCGUCAGAGGCCAAACCAUGAGCCAAAGGACAUGAUGAUUAGCACUCGCUGCUGGUUAACACUUCACUGUCUACUUGCAUGCCUGUCAAUAUCUAUCUUUUUCCAAGAACUUAGAACACAAUAUACCUUAAAUCUCCAUCAACAUUUUGAUCAACUGGAGGUAAAAGAUACGGGAGUGCUCUUCCAUAUUACACUUGUUGAUGGAUACAAGAAAAAGAGUUGGGAUGCACACAUUCUAGGUCUCCUAGGGACAUGUCCAUUGUGCUAUUGUGUAAUUUUAUCAGCAUGAACUUCUGCUGAAUAUUUUCUCUUCUUUUCAAAACCCGUAUUUUGGCAGCGCUAACUUCAAAACUUAACGUUGCAACAUCUGUGCCCAUACACCUGGGAGCCAUCGAAGAUGUAGCUUGAAGAGUAUCUACAUUUUUCAAUCUUACAGGAUGUUGUGAAAUAAAGAAAAGGGUUAUCCAUUUUUCCUGGAAUUUUUUGAAGGUGACCACUGCCUGUCUCCUUAGAAAGAUUCUCAAAAUAAAAGAGAACCAAUAUUUCUAAGUCUGUAAGAAUAUCCAUACAAUUGGAACAGAAUACUCAUUGGAUUUUGUUUGCAGAUGCGUAGUUCUUAAUGAACAUAUUCAGCUUUCCAUUAAGAGACACUGUGCAUAUCCACAAAACCUGGAGCUAUAGUCUCAAAAUGUCCUCAAACAACUCUUUACUAACUAUAUGACACAAAAGAAAGCAAAGGAACAUCCUACUACUUUGAAUGUAUUUACUACUUCUAGUCCGUGGAUGUACCAAUAAAUCUUAAAAAAUAGAAAUUAUGUUUGAAUUGGCAUUUCUCAAACAGAAGACUGAGAUCUUGACCAAAAAAAAAAAAAGACUUUCUGAACACAGAGAGAUGUCUCCCACCUCACCUUUCAUUAACUGUUCUAUCUUUAUGGAAAAAAAUGUACUUACUGAAAUUGCCUGCAGGAGAUGGUACUGAAAUUGGAAUGGGCAGAACAAUUUGUUGUUGAAGGGUAAUAUAGAUGAUGUAAAAUUUUUAUGGAUUCAAAGUUGUGAGGAAUGGAUUUGAGGAACUCCACAUGUGGAUUCUUUUGACUUUGUCAUCAGUUUAUCAAAUUGUGAUUAAAAAUGCGGUGUGCUUUCUGCGUGUUAGGUAUUGUUGGAAUUGCUUUCCAUGCUUUACUCAUUGAAUUUUCAUCAGAACCAUUUUUGACGGGUCCUUUUGUCAUCACCACCUUACAGAUGAGGAAACUGAGGCACUGAAAGGUUAAAUCAUCUGCCCCAGGUCACCCAGUCUGUCAGUGGGGAGCAGGGCUACUGCAGAGCACCUCAAAUCUGUGCUGCUCCCUUUUCCUUUGGUUACUUUUCUUAUAUGUAACAGAAUGGCUUUAAACUCUUACUUGGAAGCAAAGAAUAACAUGAUAAAGGUGACUGAUUUUAAGUUAUUUCAAACUGAGACAGAAACACUCAAGGCAGAGUCAAGUUAAUCAUCCAUGGUAAAGAAGGGAAAACUCUGUUAAUUCAAGCCACAGGCAUGAUUAUUCUCUUACAGUGAAAAGUCAAAUUUUAACAAAAAAAUCUAACUUCAAAGUUGCUGUUAGCAAGUAACAGAAUUUGAUCUCACUUCUUUCUCACCUGCCAUCCCACCACUUGCAGAAGAGGACUGCCAUCUCUACAAGGGAGAAUUAACCCUUCAGUAAUUAGAGGGGUGCUGUGUGCUGGAGAAGCCAGUGAUGUCAGUGUGUGCUGAACAUGAGCCUUCUCCCUUGUGGGUCUAGUUAAAAUGCGGACAGCGUACCCGUUGUUUGAUGCUCCUCUUUUGCACAUCUUGAGGCACAAUAUACAAAGUAAAUAAUUUCUGCUAUAGUGAAAUUCAGCAGGCAGACGCAGCAUGGUGUAGUUUACAUUUCACAAGUAACUACUGGAGGGAGCAAGGCCAUGUAGCUGUAUUUGAAGUAAGGGUUGUAUCAAUUUUCUACUAUCAUCCUCAGACUUAAAGUUCUCCAAGUAUACCAUUUACUUGACUUGUCAGAAACAUGGUGUCAUGACUCUGAACUAGGGUUUGCAAUUAGAGAAAAGGUCAUGAGAGACAUAGACAUAGAAAAACAUUGUGCUUUUAAUGCAGUGGAAAUUUAAAAAAAAGAUGUCAAAAUCACUAACAUGACUUAGUAAUUAAACUGUGUCAUGCUGCUGCCAAAAAGAGUUCAUAACUUGGAAGCUGUACUUACCAUUGACCUGUUUUUACAAUUGAGAUCAUGCCUGCUUUUUCAUUUGGAAACAAAAUUGAUCACUGUGUUCUAUAAACAAGGCUUGUCAAGUUAUUACCCUGUAACUACUUUUCAAAAAUACAUUUAUUUAAGAACAGUAUGAUUUAUGACAUGGUGUAACAGACAUUAUUUCCUUUUUCAUUUCACAUUUUA